ACAGGAUACCACAGAGGGUGAGAGUCCCGUAUCCGGCCGGCAGUACCCUCCGCGCGAGGCUCCUUCGACGAGUCGAGUUGUUUGGGAAUGCAGCUCUAAGCGGGUGGUAAAUUCCAUCUAAAGCUAAAUACUGGCCAGAGACCGAUAGCGAACAAGUAGAGUGAUCGAAAGAUGAAAAGCACUUUGAAAAGAGAGUCAAACAGUACGUGAAAUUGUUGAAAGGGAAGCGUAUGGGGGCAGACUUGGCCGCGGGGUUCAGGGUGUCUUUUGGCGCCUGUACUUCCCCGUGGGCAGGCCAGCAUCGGUUUUGGGGGUUGGAUAAAGGCGUCGGGAAUGUGGCUCCCCUCGGGGAGUGUUAUAGCCCGUCGCGCAAUGCAGCCACCCGGGAUCGAGGACCGCGCUUCGGCAAGGAUGCUGGCGUAAUGGCCUCAUACGGCCCGUCUUGAAACACGGACCAAGGAGUCUAACAUCUAUGCGAGUGUUUGGGUGUCAAGCCCGAGCGCGCAAUGAAAGUGAACGGAGGUGGGAGCCCGUAAAAAGGCGCACCAUCGACCGAUCCUGACGUCUUCUGAGGGAUUUGAGUAAGAGCAUAGCUGUUGGGACCCGAAAGAUGGUGAACUAUGCGUGAAUAGGGUGAAGCCAGAGGAAACUCUGGUGGAGGCUCGCAGCGGUUCUGACGUGCAAAUCGAUCGUCAAAUUUGCGUAUAGGGGCGAAAGACUAAUCGAACCAUCUAGUAGCUGGUUCCUGCCGAAGUUUCCCUCAGGAUAGCAGUAACGUUUUCAGUUUUAUGAGGUAAAGCGAACGAUUAGGGAGCUAGGGGCUGAAACAGCCUUUAUCCAUUCUCGAACUUUAAAUAUGUAAGAAGUCCUUGUUACUUUGUUGAACGUGGACAAUCGAAUGCAGCGUUACUAGUGGGCCAUUUUUGGUAAGCAGAACUGGCGAUGCGGGAUGAACCGAACGCGGGGUUAAGGUGCCGGAAUGCACGCUCAUCAGACACCACAAAAGGUGUUGGUUCAUCCAGACAGCAGGACGGUGGCCAUGGAAGUCGGAAUCCGCUAAGGAGUGUGUAACAACUCACCUGCCGAAUGAACCAGCCCUGAAAAUGGAUGGCGCUCAAGCGUGCUACCCAUACCCCGCCGUCUUGUUCGAUUUAGACGCAGACGAGUAGGCAGGCGUGGAGGUUCCGUGACG
rnacentral:rRNA from 2 species